rnacentral:rRNA from 1 species
GUGGGGAAUUUUGGACAAUGGGGGCAACCCUGAUCCAGCAAUGCCGCGUGCAGGAAGAAGGCCUUCGGGUUGUAAACUGCUUUUGUACGGAACGAAAAGGCUCUGGUUAAUACCUGGGGCACAUGACGGUACCGUAAGAAUAAGCACCGGCUAACUACGUGCCAGCAGCCGCGGUAAUACGUAGGGUGCAAGCGUUAAUCGGAAUUACUGGGCGUAAAGCGUGCGCAGGCGGUGCUGUAAGACAGAGGUGAAAUCCCCGGGCUCAACCUGGGAAUUGCCUUUGUGACUGCAAGGCUGGAGUGCGGCAGAGGGGGAUGGAAUUCCGCGUGUAGCAGUGAAAUGCGUAGAUAUGCGGAGGAACACCGAUGGCGAAGGCAAUCCCCUGGGCCUGCACUGACGCUCAUGCACGAAAGCGUGGGGAGCAAACAGGAUUAGAAACCCUGGUAGUCC